rnacentral:misc_RNA from 1 species
GAUGAAGAACGCAGCGAAAUGCGAUAAGUAAUGUGAAUUGUAGAAUUCAGUGAAUCAUCGAAUCUUUGAACGCACAUUGCGCCCCCUGGUAUUCCGGGGGGCAUGCCUGUCCGAGCGUCAUUACAACCCUCAAGCUCAGCUUGGUAUUGGGCCCCGCCGCUCCGGCGGGCCCUAAAGUCAGUGGCGGUGCCGUCCGGCUCCGAGCGUAGUAAUUCUUCUCGCUCUGGAGGCCCGGUCGUGUGCUCGCCAGCAACCCCCAAUUUUUUUCAGGUUGACCUCGGAUCAGGUAGGGAUACCCGCUGAACUUAAGCAUAUCAAUAAGCGGAGGA